AUUUAAGUAAUUUAAUAAUAAAAUGUUAGUUUGUGGCACUAAAAAUGUAAUUUUUUACCUUAAAUA
rnacentral:tRNA from 1 species